UAAGGAAUAUUGGACAAUGGAGGCAACUCUGAUCCAGCCAUGCCGCGUGAAGGAAUAAGGCCCUAUGGGUUGUAAACUUCUUUUAGACGGGACAAAACCCCUUUACGUGUAGAGGGUUGAUGGUACUGUCAGAAUAAGCAUCGGCUAACUUCGUGCCAGCAGCCGCGGUAAUACGAAGGAUGCAAGCGUUAUCCGGAAUUAUUGGGUUUAAAGGGUGCGUAGGCGGACUAAUAAGUCAGUGGUGAAAGCCUGCAGCUUAACUGCAGAAUUGCCAUUGAUACUGUUGGUCUUGAGUACAGUUGAGGUAGGCGGAAUGUGUCAUGUAGCGGUGAAAUGCUUAGAUAUGACACAGAACACCGAUUGCGAAGGCAGCUUGCUAAGCUGUAACUGACGCUGAGGCACGAAAGCGUGGGGAGCAAACA
rnacentral:rRNA from 1 species